CUAAGAAUCUUCCGCAAUGGGCGAAAGCCUGACGGAGCGACACUGCGUGAACGAAGAAGGUCGAAAGAUUGUAAAGUUCUUUUCUAAAUGAGGAAUAAGUUUUAUAGGAAAUGAUAGAAUGAUGACGUUAGUUUAGGAAUAAGCCCCGGCUAAUUACGUGCCAGCAGCCGCGGUAAUACGUAAGGGGCAAGCGUUGUUCGGGAUUAUUGGGCGUAAAGGGUGAGUAGGCGGAUAUGUAAGUCUUAUGUAAAAUACUACAGCUCAACUGUAGAGCUAUGUAAGAAACUACAUAACUAGAGUCUGAUAGGGGAAGUUAGAAUUUCUGGUGUAAGGGUGGAAUCUGUUGAUAUCAGAAAGAAUACCGGAGGCGAAGGCGAACUUCUGGGUUAAGACUGACGCUGAGUCACGAAAGCGUAGGGAGCAAACAGG
rnacentral:rRNA from 1 species